rnacentral:rRNA from 1 species
AGUGAACGCUGGCGGUAGGCCUAACACAUGCCAGUCGAACGGCAGCACAGUAAGAGCUUGCUCUUACGGGUGGCGAGUGGCGGACGGGUGAGGAAUACAUCGGAAUCUACUUUUUCGUGGGGGAUAACGUAGGGAAACUUACGCUAAUACCGCAUACGACCUACGGGUGAAAGCAGGGGAUCUUCGGACCUUGCGCGAUUGAAUGAGCCGAUGUCGGAUUAGCUAAUUGGCGGGGUAAAGGCCCACCAAGGCGACGAUCCGUAGCUGGUCUGAGAGGAUGAUCAGACACACUGGAACUGAGACACGGUCCAGACUCCUACGGGAGGCAGCAGUGGGGAAUAUUGGACAAUGGGCGAAAGCCUGAUCCAGCCAUACCGCGUGGGUGAAGAAGGCCUUCGGGUUGUAAAGCCCUUUUGUUGGGAAAGAAAAGCAGCAGGUUAAUACCCCGCUGUUCUGACGGUACCCAAAGAAUAAGCACCGGCUAACUUCGUG